AGAGUUUGAUCCUGGCUCAGGACGAACGCUGGCGGCGUGCCUAACACAUGCAAGUCGAGCGGGGAUGUACUGAAAGCUUGCCGGAUGUACAUCCUAGCGGCGGACGGGUGAGUAACGCGUGGGCAACCUGCCUUCUACUGGGGGAUAACACAGGGAAACCUGUGCUAAUACCGCAUAAUAUCACAUGGGGCAUCCUGUGUGAUCAAAGGAGCAAUCCGGUGGAAGAUGGGCCCGCGUCCGAUUAGCUAGUUGGUGAGGUAACGGCUCACCAAGGCGACGAUCGGUAGCCGGACUGAGAGGUUGGCCGGCCACAUUGGGACUGAGACACGGCCCAGACUCCUACGGGAGGCAGCAGUGGGGAAUAUUGCGCAAUGGGGGAAACCCUGACGCAGCGACGCCGCGUGAAGGAAGAAGGCCUUCGGGUUGUAAACUUCUUUGAUGAGGGACGAACGAAAUGACGGUACCUCAAAAACAAGCCACGGCUAACUACGUGCCAGCAGCCGCGGUAAUACGUAGGUGGCGAGCGUUGUCCGGAAUUACUGGGUGUAAAGGGCGUGUAGGCGGGGAUGCAAGUCAGAUGUGAAAUUCCGAGGCUCAACCUCGGCGCUGCAUCUGAAACUGUGUCUCUUGAGUGUCGGAGAGGAAAGCGGAAUUCCCAGUGUAGCGGUGAAAUGCGUAGAUAUUGGGAGGAACACCGGUGGCGAAGGCGGCUUUCUGGACGACAACUGACGCUGAGGCGCGAAAGCGUGGGGAGCAACAGGAUUAGAUACCCUGGUAGUCCACGCCGUAAACGAUGGAUACUAGGUGUAGGAGGUAUCGACCCCUUCUGUGCCGGAGUUAACACAAUAAGUAUCCCACCUGGGGAGUACGGCCGCAAGGUUGAAACUCAAAUGAAUUGACGG
rnacentral:rRNA from 1 species